rnacentral:rRNA from 1 species
AUUGAACGCUGGCGGCAGGCCUAACACAUGCAAGUCGAGCGAGCGGCAGACGUGUGAGUAAUGUAUGGGGUCUGCCCAAUAGUGGGGGAUACCUACUGAACACUGUGGAUAAUACCGCAUACUUUCGUAUCACCCAUAUUGGAUUAGCUUGGAGGUGGGGUAAAGGCUCACCUAGGCGACGAUCUCUAGCUGGUCUGAGAGGAUGAACAGCCACACUGGGACUGAGACACGGCCCAGACUCCUACGGAGGCAGCAGUGGGGAAUAGUGCACAAUGGGCGCAAGCCUGAUGCAGCCAGGCCGCGUGUAUGAAGAAGGCCCUAGGGUUGUAAAGUACUUUCAGUCGGGAGGCGUUACCGACAGAAGAAGCACCGGCUAACUCCGUGCCAGCAGCCGCGGUAAUAC